rnacentral:rRNA from 1 species
UAGGGAAUCUUCCACAAUGGACGAAAGUCUGAUGGAGCAACGCCGCGUGAGUGAAGAAGGGUUUCGGCUCGUAAAACUCUGUUGUUAAAGAAGAACGUGGGUAAGAGUAACUGUUUACCCAGUGACGGUAUUUAACCAGAAAGCCACGGCUAACUACGUGUCAG